ACUGAAAGAAGCUAGGAAGGUCAGGAGGAGGAGGAGGGAAGGAGAGUGUUCCAGGCAUAAAGGAUAGCCGGAGAAAAUGCCCUGAGCUCAGAAAUGGAUUAUCCUGUUCAUGGAAAAGCCGGGAGACCUGUGUCACUGGAUCACAGAAUUCGUGUCAGGUAUAAGAAGACUGCAAAGGAUCUGGCUUGCCUCCCUAGCUGACUCUGACAGUCUGGAUCACAGUGGAAUCUCACGCCACAGCAGUGCCAGCAGAUGCCACCAUAGCAUAGAUUGAAAACUCCUUGAAAGUAUGGUCCUCUCUGACCUCCUUUCGGGCCACUGCAUUUCCACUGAGAAACCCAGAGGAGGAUGAGGACAGACACCACACUCUGCCAAAUGCACAACUGUGGCCUUAAUCGUCUGCUCUGAGAAAGAUCUUCAGACUUCCACGGAGUUCCCGCCUGCUGCCCUCUGUCAUUUCUGUAGAGAAUCAGAGGAUGGCAGGGUUGCAAGGAACUCAGAUGACAUUUAAACCGACCGCCUCACACAUGGGAAACUAUCCUAUUUUUAAAGAGAUUUCUAACCUCCUGAAGUAAUCUGAUACUGAACAGACUUCA